UCGAUCUCUCGCUCUCCCUCUCACGCUCGGCCUCUCCAUCUUAGUCCGCCUUUUUCUCCUAUGCGCAGCAGAACUCCCAAAACCCAUCUCUCAAUCUUCAAAACCCCCUUUCACCAUAAGAAGGAGAAUAAGAGGGAGAAGGAGAAGAAGAUCUCUGUAUAGACAGACUUCAAGAUGUUCCUAUGUGAAAAUGCAUGCUCUUUGGCCCUAAGAUUGAGAGAUUCUCCAUAGAAAAAGGUUCAGAUUUGAAAAGGAGCGGUUUCAAUGACCUGUUUAAAUGAUUGUUCUAGUUUUUCCUGGAAAAUCAAUAUAUAGAACAGAGAAAUCUCGGUGUCGUGAAAUCAACGCUACUCUACAGUUCAAUCUAGAGAUUUUCUGAAGAAAUAAUGCAGUUUCGUUGAUGUUUUCUCAGGAUACCUUGCUUUAGAGCAUUUUUAUUGUGAGCUGUGAAUGGAUUUCAUUUUUCUGGAGAAUUUGAAGGAUUUCUUGGAAGUCAAUUUAUACAUGUCAGUUGAGCUUGUCAAGGAGAAGGGCUUUUGAAUGAGAUCGUUAAUUAUGGAGGAGAUCCUGAAAGUGCAGUGGAUGUUGCAUGUGGGAGGAUUGGAGUUGCAUAUUUCAGAUUCAAGCAUAUGUUGUUGUCAUACAUACAGAUCAAUUCUUCUAUGUUUGGGUGCAUGGCAAUUGGAUCUGAAAAUUUGAGAUUUUCAUUCAUUUAUUUCAUGACUUUUGGUAAGAUCUUCUUUAGUUGUUAAUUUAUUUUAAUUUGAAUGGAAGAAGGAUUGAUUAUUCAAUGCAAACCCAAUUUAUGGAGAGGUGUAGUUUAGUUUAAAAAUACCUGAGCUUUCAUUUGAAAAAAAAAAGGGAAUUAUACUUAAUUUGAUGUUUCAUUUCUCAGCAUAUAGCUCAAAGACCUUGAUGUAAGAGGAAUGAAAAAUAAACUGGAACAACCU